UACGAAGGGGGCUAGCGUUGCUCGGAAUCACUGGGCGUAAGGCGCACGUAGGCGGCUUUUUAAGUCAGGGGUGAAAUCCUGGAGCUCAACUCCAGAACUGCCUUUGAUACUGAGAAGCUUGAGUCCGGGAGAGGUGAGUGGAACUGCGAGUGUAGAGGUGAAAUUCGUAGAUAUUCGCAAGAACACCAGUGGCGAAGGCGGCUCACUGGCCCGGUACUGACGCUGAGGUGCGAAAGCGUGGGGAGCAAACAGG
rnacentral:rRNA from 1 species